AUUGAACGCUGGCGGCAUGCUUUACACAUGCAAGUCGAACGGUAACAGGUUAAGAUGACGAGUGGCGAACGGGUGAGUAAUGCAUCGGAACGUGCCCGAUCGUGGGGGAUAACGCAGCGAGAGCUGCGCUAAUACCGCAUACGAUCUGAGGAUGAAAGCGGGGGACCGUAAGGCCUCGCGCGAUCGCAGCGGCCGAGUGUAGAUGUAGGAAGUUGGUGGGGUAAAGGCUCACCAAGCCAACGAUCUGUAGCUGGUCUGAGAGGACGACCAGCCACACUGGGACUGAGACACGGCCCAGACUCCUACGGGAGGCAGCAGUGGGGAAUUUUGGACAAUGGGCGAAAGCCUGAUCCAGCAAUGCCGCGUGCAGGAAGAAGGCCUUCGGGUUGUAAACUGCUUUUGUACGGAGCGAAAAGGCUCUCUCUAAUACAGGGGGCUCAUGACGGUACCGUAAGAAUAAGCACCGGCUAACUACGUGCCAGCAGCCGCCGUAACAC
rnacentral:rRNA from 1 species